AUUGAACGCUGGCGGCAGGCUUAAUACAUGCAAGUCGAGGGGCAGCAUGAUUGUAGCAAUACAAUUGAUGGCGACCGGCAAACGGGUGCGGAACACGUACACAACCUUCCAACAAGUGGGGGAUAGCCCAGAGAAAUUUGGAUUAAUACCCCGUAACAUAGCGAUGUGGCAUCACAUUGCUAUUAUAGAUUUUUCGCUUGUUGAUGGGUGUGCGGCUGAUUAGAUAGUUGGCGGGGUAGCGGCCCACCAAGUCUACGAUCAGUAGCUGAUGUGAGAGCAUGAUCAGCCACACGGGCACUGAGACACGGGCCCGACUCCUACGGGAGGCAGCAGUAAGGAAUAUUGGACAAUGGACGCAAGUCUGAUCCAGCCAUGCCGCGUGAAGGAUUAAGGUCCUCUGGAUUGUAAACUUCUUUUAUAAGGGACGAAAAAAGGCUUUUCUAAGUCGUCUGACGGUACCUUAUGAAUAAGCACCGGCUAACUCCGUGCCAGCCGCCGCCGUAACAC
rnacentral:rRNA from 1 species